rnacentral:rRNA from 1 species
GCCCUCAACAGGAGGAUAGCUCCCCGAAAGGGGAAUUAAGACUCCAUAACAUCAUACAAGGGCAUCUGAGUAUGAUUAAAGUACAAGCGGUUGAGGAUGAGCAUGCGCAUGAUUAGUUAGUUGGCGGGGUAACGGCCCACCAAGACGAUGAUCAUUAGGGGAACUGUGAGGUUGGUCCCCCACACUGGCACUGAGAUACGGGCCAGACUCCUACGGGAGGCAGCAGUAGGGAAUAUUGGACAAUGGGUGCAAGCCUGAUCCAGCCAUGCCGCGUGCCGGAAGAAGGCCUUCUGGGUCGUAAACUGCUUUUUUCUGGGGAUAAAAUACUCGUGCGCGAGGCAUUGAAAGUACCAGGAGAAUAAGCCACGGCUAACUACGUGCCAGCAGCCGCGGUAAUACGUAGGUGGCAAGCGUUGUCCGGAUUUAUUGGGUUUAAAGGGUGCGUAGGCGGUCCACUAAGUCAGCAGUGAAAUACGACAGCUCAACUGUCGAGGUGCUGAUGAUACUGGUGGACUUGAGUACUGAUGAGGUAGGCGGAAUGGACGGUGUAGCGGUGAAAUGCUUAGAGAUCGUCCAGAACACCGAUAGCGAAGGCAGCUUACUAAGGAGUAACUGACGCUGAGGCACGAAAGUGUGGGGAUCAAACAGGAUUAGAUACCCUGGUAGUCC